ACACAUGCAAGUCGACGAUGAAGCCUUUCGGGGUGGAUUAGUGGCGAACGGGUGAGUAACACGUGGGCAAUCUGCCCUUCACUCUGGGACAAGCCCUGGAAACGGGGUCUAAUACCGGAUAAUACUUUCUCCUGCAUGGGAGAGGGUUGAAAGCUCCGGCGGUGAAGGAUGAGCCCGCGGCCUAUCAGCUUGUUGGUGGGGUGAUGGCCUACCAAGGCGACGACGGGUAGCCGGCCUGAGAGGGCGACCGGCCACACUGGGACUGAGACACGGCCCAGACUCCUACGGGAGGCAGCAGUGGGGAAUAUUGCACAAUGGGCGGAAGCCUGAUGCAGCGACGCCGCGUGAGGGAUGACGGCCUUCGGGUUGUAAACCUCUUUCAGCAGGGAAGAAGCGUGAGUGACGGUACCUGCAGAAGAAGCGCCGGCUAACUACGUGCCAGCAGCCGCGGUAAUACGUAGGGCGCAAGCGUUGUCCGGAAUUAUUGGGCGUAAAGAGCUCGUAGGCGGCUUGUCGCGUCGGAUGUGAAAGCCCGGGGCUUAACCCCGGGUCUGCAUUCGAUACGGGCAGGCUAGAGUGUGGUAGGGG
rnacentral:rRNA from 1 species